UAUAGUGGCAAUUAGCACUCAAGGUCCGCCGCCGUUGGGAUGAAGCUAAGCAACGUCGGGCGCGGUUAGUACUUGGAUGGGUGACCGCUUGGGAACACCGCGUGCUGUUGUCA
rnacentral:rRNA from 1 species